GCCAUGAUUUCAGGGUUCCCAAGCAGCCACUGCCAUUGGUUGACAACUGUCACGAAGGACAAAGUGCCGAUUUUGAAAGUGAUAAAGGCCAGGGUAAGGAAGAAAGUCGAAAAGGAAAACAGGUGUGUAGAAAAUAUUCACUUUGGAUCUAAAUCAUGGCUCUACCGUACUAGCUGUGAGAUCCUGGAAACAUUAUCAAACAUUUUUCUUCUGUGAAAUGGGAAUGGUAAUAUCUGCCUCAAGGGCUCUUGAGAGGAUUAAAUGCAAUGAUGAACUUGAA